AGAGUUUGAUCCUGGCUCAGGAUGAACGCUGGCGGCGUGCCUAACACAUGCAAGUCGAACGGAAUUUACAUGAAGCCUAGCGAUUGUAAAUUUAGUGGCGGACGGGUGAGUAACGCGUGGGUAACCUGCCUUGUACUGGGGGACAACAGUUGGAAACGACUGCUAAUACCGCAUAAGCGCACGGCUUCGCAUGAAGCAGUGUGAAAAACUCCGGUGGUACAAGAUGGACCCGCGUCUGAUUAGCUGGUUGGUGAGGUAACGGGCCACCAAGGCGACGAUCAGUAGCCGGCCUGGAGAGGGUGAACCGGCCACAGUUGGGACUGAGACACGGCCCAAACUCCUACGGGAGGCA
rnacentral:rRNA from 1 species